UCUCCGUUAGUGAACCAGCGGAGGGAUCAUUACAAAAGGGUCGCAAGACUCCCAAACCACUGUGAAAACACCAGUUAUUGCCUCGGCGGGAGGCGCGGGGGCGGAUGGUAAUACUCUCACGGGUUUCUCCCUCCCCCGGGCGGACCGCCGGCGGCCCCACUCCACUCUUUUGUAAGCGGCACUACCUGUCUAAUUAAACUGUUACCGAAAUAGAAAACACAACUUUCAACAACGGAUCUCUUAGCUCUGGCAUCGAUGAAGAACGCAGC
rnacentral:misc_RNA from 1 species